rnacentral:rRNA from 1 species
CAUGCAAGUCGAGGGGAAACGACAUCGAAAGCUUGCUUUUGAUGGGCGUCGACCGGCGCACGGGUGAGUAACGCGUAUCCAACCUGCCCACCACUUGGGGAUAACCUUGCGAAAGUAAGACUAAUACCCAAUGACGUCUCUAGAAGACAUCUGAAAGAGAUUAAAGAUUUAUCGGUGAUGGAUGGGGAUGCGUCUGAUUAGCUUGUUGGCGGGGUAACGGCCCACCAAGGCGACGAUCAGUAGGGGUUCUGAGAGGAAGGUCCCCCACAUUGGAACUGAGACACGGUCCAAACUCCUACGGGAGGCAGCAGUGAGGAAUAUUGGUCAAUGGACGAGAGUCUGAGCCAGCCAAGUAGCGUGCAGGAAGACGGCCCUAUGGGUUGUAAACUGCUUUUAUAAGGGAAUAAAGUGAGAGUCGUGACUCUUUUUGCAUGUACCUUAUGAAUAAGGACCGGCUAAUUCCGUGCCAGCAGCCGCGGUAAUACGGAAGGUCCGGGCGUUAUCCGGAUUUAUUGGGUUUAAAGGGAGCGUAGGCCGGAGAUUAAGCGUGUUGUGAAAUGUAGAUGCUCAACAUCUGAACUGCAGCGCGAACUGGUUUCCUUGAGUACGCACAAAGUGGGCGGAAUUCGUGGUGUAGCGGUGAAAUGCUUAGAUAUCACGAAGAACUCCGAUUGCGAAGGCAGCUCACUGGAGCGCAACUGACGCUGAAGCUCGAAAGUGCGGGUAUCGAACAGGAUUAGAUACCCUGGUAGUCCGCACGGUAAACGAUGGAUGCCCGCUGUUGGUCUGAAUAGGUCAGCGGCCAAGCGAAAGCAUUAAGCAUCCCACCUGGGGAGUACGCCGGCAACGGUGAAACUCAAAGGAAUUGACGGGGGCCCGCACAAGCGGA